rnacentral:rRNA from 1 species
CAGUCGCCACGGUGAGACAGAGGUCCCGAGCGUUGUUCGGAUUCAUUGGGCGUAAAGGGUGUGUAGGAGGUCGGGUAAGUCAGGCGUGAAAUUCCCGGGCUCAACCUGGGGGCUGCGUUUGAUACUUGGUUGCUUGAGUGGGGAAGAGGGUCGUGGAAUUCCCAGUGUAGAGGUGAAAUUCGUAGAUAUUGGGAAGAACACCGGUGGCGAAGGCGGCGACCUGGUCCUUUACUGACGCUGAGGCGCGAAAGCGUGGGGAGCAAACAGGAUUAGAUACCCGAGUAGUCCCUGUCUCUUAUAC